AGAGUUUGAUCAUGGCUCAGGACGAACGCUGGCGGCGUGGAUAAGACAUGCAAGUCGGACGGGAUUAUUUCUAGUAGCAAUACCGGGGAUGAUUCAGUGGCGAACGGGUGCGUAACACGUGGGCAAUCUGCCGAAAAGUGGGGGAUAGCUCGCCGAAAGGCGAAUUAAUACCGCAUGUGGUGAGAGUAGACAUCUAUUCGAAUCCAAAGCCGGGGCAACCUGGCGCUUUCUGAGGAGCCCGCGGCCUAUCAGCUAGUUGGUGAGGUAACGGCCCACCAAGGCGAUGACGGGUAGCUGGUCUGAGAGGACGACCAGUCACACUGGAACUGAGACACGGUCCAGACACCUACGGGUGGCAGCAGUCGAGAAUUUUUCUCAAUGGGGGAAACCCUGAAGGAGCGACGCCGCGUGGAGGAUGAAGGCUUUCGGGUUGUAAACUCCUGUCAUUUGGGAACAAUGCGUCAGAAUUAACUGUUUUGGCGUUGAUAGUACCAGAAGAGGAAGAGACGGCUAACUCUGUGCCAGCAGCCGCGGUAAUACAGAGGUCUCGAGCGUUGUUCGGAUUCAUUGGGCGUAAAGGGUGCGUAGGUGGCGCCGUAAGUCGGGUGUGAAAUUUCGGAGCUUAACUCCGAAACUGCAUUCGAUACUGCGGUGCUUGAGGACUGGAGAGGAGACUGGAAUUCAUGGUGUAGCAGUGAAAUGCGUAGAGAUCAUGAGGAAGACCAGUGGCGAAGGCGGGUCUCUGGACAGUUCCUGACACUGAGGCACGAAGGCCAGGGGAGCAAACGGGAUUAGAUACCCCUGUAGUCC
rnacentral:rRNA from 1 species